rnacentral:rRNA from 1 species
GACGAACGCUGGCGGCGUGCUUAACACAUGCAAGUCGAGCGGAGCGGCGAACGGGUGAGUAACGCGUGAGUAACUGCCCCCCUCUCUGGGAUAACAGUUGGAAACGGCUGCUAAUACCAGAUAGUGGGGGAUGCCUCGCGUCCUAUCAGCUUGUUGGUGGGUUAGUGGCGUACCAAGGCGACGACGGGUAGCCGGCCUGAGAGGGCGACCGGCCACAUUGGGCUGAGAUAGGGCCAAAACUCCUACGGGGGGCAGCAGGGGGGAAUAUUGCACAAUGGGGGAACCCCUGAUGCAGCAACGCCGCGUGCGGGAGGAAGGGCGGCUGGUUGUAAACCGCUUUCAGCCAUGACGCGGUAGUGGCAGAAGAAGCACCGGCGAACUACGUGCCAGCAGCCGCGGUAAUUC